GUAUAAUUAGCGAAUGCGGCUUAAUUUCGACUUAAGUGAAGAAAGAUAAG
rnacentral:tRNA from 1 species